UACGUAGGGGGCGAGCGUUGUCCGGAUUCAUUGGGCGUAAAGAGCUCGUAGGCGGUUUGAUAAGUCGGGUGUGAAAUCUCCAGGCUCAACCUGGAGAGGUCACUCGAGACUGUUAUGACUAGAGUCCGGUAGGGGACCACGGAAUUCCUGGUGUAGCGGUGAAAUGCGCAGAUAUCAGGAGGAACACCAGUGGCGAAGGCGGUAGUCUGGGCCGGAACUGACGCUGAGGAGCGAAAGCGUGGGUAGCAAACAGG
rnacentral:rRNA from 1 species